CUUGACCUACGGGACGCAGCAGUGGGGGAUAUUGCACAAUGGGGGGAACCCUGAUGCAGCGACGCCGCGUGGGUGAAGAAGCGCCUCGGCGCGUAAAGCCCUGUCAGCAGGGAAGAAAAUGACGGUACCUGAAGAAGAAGCCCCGGCUAACUACGUGCCAGCAGCCGCGGUAAUACGUAGGGAGCAAGCGUUAUCCGGAUUUACUGGGUGUAAAGGGGGCGCAGACGGCGAUGCAAGCCAGGAGCGAAAGCCCGGGGCCCAACCCCGGGACUGCUCUUGGAACUGCGUGGCUGGAGUGCGGGAGG
rnacentral:rRNA from 1 species